rnacentral:pre_miRNA from 1 species
GCCACAGGCGCCAAGGGCAGGAGGACCAAAGCCCUGGCGAAGGCCGUGGCCUCGUUCAAGUAAUCCAGGAUAGGCUGUGCAGGUCCCAAUGGGCCUAUUCUUGGUUACUUGCACGGGGACGCGGGCCUGGACGCCGGCAUCCGGGCUCAGGACUCCCCCUCUCUGCCAGAGGC